rnacentral:lncRNA from 1 species
CUGUCCCUGCUUACGCCAGCCGAAGCCGCCACGCCUAUCCCCGGCCCCGCCGAAGCCGCGGCCCGACGCCACCGUCCCCAUCCCCAUCCCCGCCGACACUGCUGCCGUCCUGUCAGCGCCAACGCCAUCCCCGUCCCCGCCGACACCGCCGCCACCCCCGCCUACGCUGCCGCCAGCGCCGACCAAGGCUGGUUUAUAUGCUAGCUGAUUUUUUUUUUUUUUGCAUAUGUGCUUGGUUCUACUUCCUUUAUCUGAUUUUUUUUGCCAUGAUUAUUUGCAGGCUGUCAAACUAUGGAUACUAUGUGUAGCGGUGCCCAACGUGAACAAGAACAAGGCUAUCCUGUGUAUUGAAACUAUGUCAUUUUUUUGCAUUUAAGUUGGAUUGUUGGACUGUAUGUAAUUGUCUUGACUCUUAAGGCUGUUAUUGUGGUUGCAUUGUAUAUGGUUUGGGCGGGUAUGCUUGCUGUUAUACGGCACCCCGGGUAAUGGGUACAAGCAGAUUCUAUACCUAUGAUGUAGUAACGGGUAUACCCACGGUCAUAUAUUCGCCCAACAGGUAUGGUAUGGGUAGUUACUACCCGUAACCACUAUGCCCGAUUGCCAUCCCUAGUCUGUAAACUACUAUGUUAUCAUGUUAGCAUGUGUUUGGGGAUCUAAUCUCACUUGUUAGUUGUAUUUUUGACGUGGAUAGGAGGGCCAAACUAUUUUGUUUUAUUCAAUUAACCAUGA